rnacentral:rRNA from 1 species
AUACGUAGGUGGCAAGCGUUGUCCGGAAUUAUUGGGCGUAAAGCGCAUGUAGGCGGUUUGGUAAGUCGGUCGUGAAAAUGCGGUGCUUAACGCCGUAUGGCGAUUGAAACUGCUGAACUUGAGUGCAGGAGAGGAAAGGGGAACUCCCAGUGUAGCGGUGAAAUGCGUAGAUAUUGGGAAGAACACCGGUGGCGAAGGCGCCUUUCUGGACUGUGUCUGACGCUCAGAUGCGAAAGCCAGGGUAGCGAACGGGAUUAGAUACCCCGGUAGUCCUGGCCGUAAACGAUGGGUACUAGGUGUGGGAGGUAUCGACUCCUUCCGUGCCGGAGUUAACGCAAUAAGUACCCCGCCUGGGGAGUACGGCCGCAAGGCUUAAACUCAAAGGAAUCGACGGGG